GCUUGUCUCAAAGAUUAAGCCAUGCAUGUCUAAGUAUAAACUGCUUAUACUGUGAAACUGCGAAUGGCUCAUUAAAUCAGUCAUAAUUUAUUUGAUGGUACCUACUACUCGGAUAACCGUGGUAAUUCUAGAGCUAAUACAUGCUGUUUAGCCUGACUUCUAGGAAGGGCUGUAUUUAUUAGAUAACAAACCAAUAUUCCUCGUGUCUAUUGUGAUGACUCAUAAUAACUGAUCGAAUCGCAUGGGCUUUGCCCGCGAUACAUCAUUCAAGUUUCUGCCCCAUCAGCUUUCGAUGGUAGUGUAUUGGACUACCAUGGCUUUAACGGGUAACGGAGGAUUAGGGUUCGAUUCCGGAGAGGGAGCCUGAGAAACGGCUACCACAUCUAAGGAAGGCAGCAGG
rnacentral:rRNA from 1 species